AAUUCCUCCUCCUCGUCCUCCUCAUUCUUCCAUAGCAGGGAGCUGCCAGAAGGGUGCCGGCCUUCCUUCCGCGGAGAUGUUGUGUUUUUUCGUGUGCGAUCAGCAGGAGAAGGUGGUGUCAGCGGCAGGCGGCGCCGGGGGCGUGCCCGCACUGCGGCGGGGCAGUCCAGGUGAUGGACGUGGAGAGCCAGUGGCGGUUCUGCUUCCUCCCGCUCUACUUCCGCACCACGCGCAAGUUCGGCUGCACCAUCUGCGCCCGCCAGCUCGUCGUCAAGUCCUAGCCCUUCCGCCAUCGAUUCUUCCCCACUCCGACGACCGCGUUUUUUCGGGGUUUCGACUUCUUGUUAGUCGCUGGUGAUCGUGUAGAGAGUUUCUUUAGGGUUCUGGUUUCUUCAAGUUAGAGAUGAGGUAUGUGGAUAUAUAAUAAUGGCUGUGGCUUCAUUAGGGUUUCUGAAUAGAUGGGAAACCCUAACGGGGGAAAGGGUGCCUGUAAA